UGCCAGCCGCCGCGGUAAUACGGAGGGUGCAAGCGUUAAUCGGAAUUACUGGGCGUAAAGCGUGCGUAGGCGGUUUAUUAAGUCAGAUGUGAAAGCCCCGGGCUUAACCUGGGAACUGCAUUUGAAACUGGUCAACUAGAGUAUGGUAGAGGAAAGUGGAAUUUCUGGUGUAGCGGUGAAAUGCGUAGAUAUCAGAAGGAACAUCAAUGGCGAAGGCAGCUUUCUGGACCAAUACUGACGCUGAGCUACGCAUGCGUGGGUAGCAAACAGGAGGAUAUU
rnacentral:rRNA from 1 species